rnacentral:rRNA from 1 species
CCUACGGGAGGCAGCAGUGGGGAAUUUUGGACAAUGGGCGAAAGCCUGAUCCAGCAAUGCCGCGUGAGUGAAGAAGGCCUUCGGGUUGUAAAGCUCUUUUGUCAGGGAAGAAACGGUGAGAGCUAAUAUCUUUUGCUAAUGACGGUACCUGAAGAAUAAGCACCGGCUAACUACGUGCCAGCAGCCGCGGUAAUACGUAGGGUGCAAGCGUUAAUCGGAAUUACUGGGCGUAAAGCGUGCGCAGGCGGUUUUGUAAGUCUGAUGUGAAAUCCCCGGGCUCAACCUGGGAAUUGCAUUGGAGACUGCAAGGCUAGAAUCUGGCAGAGGGGGGUAGAAUUCCACGUGUAGCAGUGAAAUGCGUAGAUAUGUGGAGGAACACCGAUGGCGAAGGCAGCCCCCUGGGUCAAGAUUGACGCUCAUGCACGAAAGCGUGGGGAGCAAACAGGAUUAGAUACCCUGGUAGUCCACGCCCUAAACGAUGUCUACUAGUUGUCGGGUCUUAAUUGACUUGGUAACGCAGCUAACGCGUGAAGUAGACCGCCUGGGGAGUACGGUCGCAAGAUUAAAACGUCAAAGAUUAGAGGCGUGAGAGAGCGACGACGACGACGAGGAGGAGG